UGCGUAGGGGGCGAGCGUUGUCCGGAAUUACUGGGCGUAAAGGGUGCGUAGGCGGCCAAACAAGUCGGAUGUGAAAUGCCUCUGCUUAACGGAGGAGUUGCAUACGAAACUGUAUGGCUUGAGUGCAGGAGAGGAAAGCGGAAUUCCUAGUGUAGCGGUGAAAUGCAUAGAUAUUAGGAGGAACACCAGUGGCGAAGGCGGCUUUCUGGACUGUAACUGACGCUGAGGCACGAAAGCGUGGGGAGCAAACAGG
rnacentral:rRNA from 1 species